CAUGGCAGAGCAGAAGUUGUACUUCAGCAAUAUCAGGGCUUGAAAGAAACUGCGUUUCACAGAUCUUUCUGAGAGCUGUUCCCGGUAAGCUGUAAGAGCACUGUGGUGAGUGCGUUGUUUCUUAGAUUCCCAAAGAGCUGGAAGCAAGCCCGAAUGUGCCUUGUCUCCUUUGGCGGCAAUGAUUCAGCGCUUUAUGUCUUCCGUCUCUUGAGCAAUGUGGGACAUGGCUUAGAGCAGAAGUUCCAAGGUAGUGAGUUCAUGGCCGGAAACAAACUGCAUUCCAGGCCUUUGCAUGAGAGGUUCCCAGUAGGCUGUAAGAGCCCUGUGGAUAGCGAGUUCUUUGUCACCUUGCGAAAGAGAUGGAGGCGAGACGGUCUGUGUUUUGUCUCCUCUUAAGGAAGCCAGGCAGGCCAUUGUGACUUCCAUCUCUAGGGAAAUGUGUUACACGUCAGAGCAGAAGUUCUACCUCAGCAUGAUCAAGGCUGGGAUGAAACUGUGUUUCACAGGCAUUUGGAAGAAAUGUUCCUGGUAGGCUGUAAGAGCACUGUGGAGACCAAGUUGUUUGUUAGCUUCCCAAAGGUCUGGAAGCAAGAAUCUUUGCGGCAUGUCGUCCCUUGAGAUAACAAGGCGAAUCUUUGUGCCUUGGACCUCUAGGGCAAUGUAGGACACGGCAGGGCAGAAGUUCUACUUCAGGGAUAUCACGGCUGGAAAUAAAGUGUGUUUAACAGCCCUUUGUAAGAGAUGUUCCCGGUACGCUAUAACAGCAAGAUGGAGAGCCAGUUGUUUCCUAGCUUCCGAGAGCGGGAAGCAAGACCCUUUGUGGCUUGUCUCCUUUGGAGGCAAUGACUCAUAGCUUUGUCACUUCCACCUCUAGAGCAAUGUAGAACACGGCAGAACAGAAGUCCUACUUCAGCGAGAUCAGGGAUGGAAAGAAUCUGCCUUUCACAGGCCUUUAUAAGAGAUGUUCCCGGUAGGCUGUAAGAGCACUGUGGAGAGCGAGUUGUUUCUUAGCUUCCCAAAAGAGCUGGAAGCAAGACUGUUUGUGGCUUGUCUCCUUUGGCGGCAAUGAGUCAAGGCUUGGUGUCUUCCACUUCUAGAGCAAUGUAGGUCAUGGCUUAGGGCAGAACUUCCAAGGUGGUGAGAUCAUGACUGGAAACAAACUGCAUUUCAGGCCUUUUUAUGAGAGGUUCCCGGUAGGCUGUAAGAGCCCUGUGGAAAGCGAGUUCUUUCUCCACUUGCCCAAGAGCUGGAAGUGAGAUGCUUUGUUGCCUGCCGCCCCUUGAGGAAACAAGGCAGGACUUUGUGCCUUGCACUUCUAGGGCAAUGUAGGACACGGCAGAGCAGAAUUUCUACUUCAGCGAGAUCAGGGAUGGAAGUAACUGCGGUUCACAGGCCUUUGUAUAGAUGUUCCCGUUGGGCUGUAAGAUCACUGUGGAGAGCAAGUUGUUUCUUAGCUUCCCAAAGAGCUGGAAGCAAGACCGUUUGUGGCUUGUCUCCUUUGGAGGCAAUGACUCAGGGGUUUGUCACUUCCACCUCUAGAGCAAUGUAGAACACGACUUAGAGAUGAAUUUCCAAGCUGGCGAGAUCUGGACUGGAAACAAACUGCAUUCCAGGUCUUUGGAUUAGAGGUUCACAGUAGGCUGUAACAGCCCAGGUGAAAACGAGUUCUUUGUCACAUUGCGAAAGAGCUGGAAGCAAGAUGGUCUGUGGCCUGUCUCCUCUUGAGGAUGCCAGGCAGUGUUUGGGACUUCCACCUCUGGGGCAAUGUUUUGCACGGCUUAGCAGAAGUCCUACUUGAGCGAGAUGAGGUCUGGGAAGAAAGUGCGUUUCACAGGCCUUUGUAGGAGAUGUUCCCAGUAUGCUGUAAGAGCACUGUGGAGAGCAAGUUGUUUCCUGGCUUCAGAAAGAGCUGGACGCAAGACACGUUAUUUCCUGUCUCCACUUGAGGAAACAAG
ensembl:lncRNA